AAUCAACGCUGGCGGCGUGCCUAACACAUGCAAGUCGAACGCGAAAGCCCCGAAAGGGGCAAGUAGAGUGGCAAACGGGUGAGUAACACGUGGGUGACCUGCCUUCGAGCGGGGGAUAACGUCCCGAAAGGGACGCUAAUACCGCAUAACAUCCUGCCUUUGAAGAGGUGGAGAUCAAAGCUGGGGAUCGCAAGACCCGG
rnacentral:rRNA from 1 species